GACGUAGGGGGCCAGCGUUGUUCGGAAUUACUGGGCGUAAAGCGUGCGCAGGCGGUUCGUUAAGUCAGAUGUGAAAGCCCCGGGCUCAACCUGGGAACUGCAUUUGAAACUGGCGGGCUUGAGUGUGGCAGAGGGGGGUGGAAUUCCGCGUGUAGCAGUGAAAUGCGUAGAUAUGUGGAGGAAUACCGAUGGCGAAGGCAGCCCCCUGGGAUAACACUGACGCUCAUGCACGAAAGCGUGGGGAGCAAACAGG
rnacentral:rRNA from 1 species